AUUGAACGCUGGCGGCAGGCCUAACACAUGCAAGUCGAACGAGUGGCGGACGGGUGAAUAAUGUCUGGGAAACUGCCUGAUGGAGGGGGAUAACUACUGGAAACGGUAGCUAAUACCGCAUACCGUCAGAUGGGCCCAGAUGGGAUGAGCUUGUUGGUGGGGUAACGGCUCACCAAGGCGACGAGCCCUAGCUGGUCUGAGAGGAUGACCAGCCACACUGGAACUGAGACACGGCCCAGACUCCUACGGGAGGCAGCAGUGGGGAAUCUUGCACAAUGGGCGAAAGCCUGAUGCAGCCAUGCCGCGUGUAUGAAGAAGGCCUUCGGAUUGUAAAGUACUGUCAGCGGGGAGGCGUUACCCGCCGAAGAAGCACCGGCUAACUCCGUGCCAGCAGCCGCGGUAAUAC
rnacentral:rRNA from 1 species